GGUAUGCUUAAGACAUGCAAGUCGUGCGGUAGAAGGCUUCGGCCUUUGAGAGCGGCGGACGGGUGAGUAACACGUGGGAAUCUGCCUAUUAGUGGGGGACAGCCCAGCGAAAGCUGGAUUAAUACCGCAUACGCCCUACGGGGGAAAGCAGCAAUGCGCUAAUAGAUGAGCCCGCGUAAGAUUAGCUAGUUGGUAAGGUAAAGGCUUACCAAGGCGACGAUCUUUAGCUGGUCUGAGAGGAUGGCCAGCCACAUCGGGACUGAGACGCGGCCCGGACUCCUACGGGAGGCAGCAGUCGGGAAUAUUGGACAAUGGGCGCAAGCCUGAUCCAGCAAUACCGCGUGUGUGAAGAAGGCCUGCGGGUUGUAAAGCACUUUCAGUUGGGAAGAUAAUGACGUUACCAACAGAAGAAGCACCGGCUAACUCCGUGCCAGCAGCCGCGGUAAUACGGAGGGUGCAAGCGUUAAUCGGAAUUACUGGGCGUAAAGCGUGCGUAGGCGGCCUGUUAAGUCAGAUGUGAAAGCCCCGGGCUUAACCUGGGAACUGCAUCUGAUACUGGGAGGCUA
rnacentral:rRNA from 1 species